AGAGUUUGAUCCUGGCUCAGGAUGAACGCUAGCGGCAGGCCUAAUACAUGCAAGUCGAGGGAGAUUGUUGGAUUCGUCUGACAUGAAACCGGCGCACGGGUGCGUAACACGUAUGCAACCUACCUUUAACUGGGGUAUAGCUCAGAGAAAUCUGAAUUAAUCCCCCAUAAGACUACGACAUGGCAUCAUGAUGUAGUUAAAGCUCCGGCGGUUAAGGAUGGGCAUGCGGUACAUUAGCUAGUUGGUGAGGUAAUGGCUCACCAAGGCUACGAUGUAUAGGGGGUCUGAGAGGAUGAUCCCCCACACUGGUACUGAGACACGGACCAGACUCCUACGGGAGGCAGCAGUAGGGAAUAUUGGUCAAUGGACGCAAGUCUGAACCAGCCAUGCCGCGUGAAGGAUGAAGGCCCUAUGGGUCGUAAACUUCUUUUAUUAGGGGAGAAAAAAUGGGAUGCGUCCUAUACUGACGGUACUUAAUGAAUAAGGAUCGGCUAACUUCGUGCCAGCAGCCGCGGUAAGACGAAGGAUCCAAGCGUUGUCCGGAUUUACUGGGUUUAAAGGGUGCGUAGGCGGAAAAUUAAGUCAGUGGUGAAAGCCCGCAGCUCAACUGUGGAACUGCCAUUGAAACUGGUUUUCUUGAAUAUAGCUGAGGCAGAUGGAAUAUAACAUGUAGCGGUGAAAUGCUUAGAUAUGUUAUAGAACACCGAUUGCGAAGGCAGUCUGCUAAACUAUUAUUGACGCUGAGGCACGAAAGCGUGGGGAGCGAACAGGAUUAGAUACCCUGGUAGUCCACGCCCUAA
rnacentral:rRNA from 1 species